AUUGAACGCUGGCGGCAGGCCUAACACAUGCAAGUCGAACGAGUGGCGGACGGGUGAGUAAUUUCUGGGACACUGCCUGAUGGAGGGGGAUAACUACUGGACACGGUAUCUAAUACCGCAUACCCUCAGAUGUCCCCAGAGUGGUUUAGCGAGUUGGUGGGGUAACGGCUCACCCAGGCGACGAUCCCUAGCUGGUCUGAGAGGAUGACCAGGCACACUGGAACUGAGACACGGUCCAGACUCCUAAGGGAGGCAGCAGUGGGGAAUAUUGAACAAUGGGCGAAAGCCUGAUGCAGCCAUGCCGCGUGUAUGAAGAAGGCCUUCGGGUUGUAAAGUACUUUCAGCGGGGAGGCGUUACCCGCAGAAGAAGCACCGGCUAACUCCGUGCCAGCAGCCGCGGUAAUUC
rnacentral:rRNA from 1 species